rnacentral:snoRNA from 1 species
AAAGCAUCUUAACAGGCCCCGGUCUUUGCAGUAGACGGUGGUUUGGUAGCUGGUGCUGAAAAUAAAUUCCUCCUGUAUUAAAGCCGCUGGCUCUACUUGUGCCUGCUGGAAUAAAUUAUGGAGGAAACAUUU